UGGCCCCUACGGGGCGCAGCAGUGGGGAAUAUUGCACAAUGGGGGGAACCCUGAUGCAGCGACGCCGCGUGAGUGAAGAAGUAUUUCGGUAUGUAAAGCUCUAUCAGCAGGGAAGAAGAUGACGGUACCUGACCAAGAAGCCCCGGCUAACUACGUGCCAGCAGCCGCGGUAAUACGUAGGGGGCAAGCGUUAUCCGGAUUUACUGGGUGUAAAGGGAGCGCAGACGGCAGUGCAAGUCUGGAGUGAAAGCCCGGGGCCCAACCCCGGAACUGCUCUGGAAACUGUGCGGCUAGAGUACUGGAGG
rnacentral:rRNA from 1 species